GUCCCGGCGCGCCUGUAGAGGGAGACCGAGCGAGCCAAUCCGAGGCGGCGAGGAGGAGCCGGUCUGGAGCGCCGAGCUGUCAUCCGCGUUCCCUGUCAGCUCACGAGUGAUCCGGGAGAGAGAUUGGGCUAUCCUAUUAUUGAUUCGGAAAAACAAGUCGUCCUGUCACUGACAGCCUCGGAAUCUGUUUGUGCCUAGAUUUUGAUGAGGAAGCUGAGGCACAGGAGUGACAAUUCUACAUUUUGAAGUGCCAGAAUGGGGACCUAGGCAUCUACAUCUGGGACCUGUAUGCCAUCCUCUAAAGAUAUAGCCUAGAGCUACCGCUUCUCCCAGUCUGUCAUACAUUUAUAGGCCUUAAAAACUACAAACCGGCCGGGCGGUGGUGGCGCAUGCCUUUAAUCCCAGCACUUGGGAGGCAGAGGCAGGUGGAUCUCUGUGGGUUUGAGGCCAGCCUGGUCUACAUAGCAACUUCCAGGACAGUCAAGGCUGUUACACAGAGAAACCUGUCUCAAAAAAACAAAACAAAAAAACAGGCAGAAAGAUGGCUCAGUGGAUAAAGUACUUGCUGUAAAGGCAUGAACACCUGAGUUUGGAUCCUCAGAGUUCAUGUAAAGCCAGCCACAAUUAAACUCAUCUGUAAGCUCAGUAUUCCUGUGACAACAGAAUCCUUGGAAGCAUGUGGGCCGGUUAUCCCAGACACUGAACAGACCUGAUAUGACUAAACAGGUAAAAUAACUUGCUGUGCAACCCUAACGACCUGAGUUUAACCUAACCUAAGUCAAGAUAGGUGAUAACUGACUCCAUACAUGUGUGCCCCUCAUGUGUGCUUGGUGCCCACUGAGGUCAGAAGAAACCUAUCAAAUCCCCUGGAAAUGAAGAUGGUUGUGAUCAACAUGUGGUUACUCAGAACAAGAGCAACAAGUGCUCUUAACCUCUGCCAUUUUUUCCAGGCCUAUCAUAAGUUUCUAUGAAUCCCAGGCCAGCCAAGGUUAUAUAGAAAAACCCUGUCUCAAAACUAAAAACUGAAAAUAAAGAAGAAACUUUGUGUCAAACAUGGUGGAAAUAAGGACCAACACCUGAGGCUGUCCCAUGAAUAUGUGCCUACAUCUACACACACACACACACACACACACACACACACACGGAC